rnacentral:rRNA from 1 species
GGGCCCGCACAAGCGGUGGAGUAUGUGGUUUAAUUCGAUGCAACGCGAAGAACCUUACCAGGGUUUGACAUCCUGCGAAUCUCUUGGAAACGAGAGAGUGCCUUCGGGAGCGCAGUGACAGGUGGUGCAUGGCUGUCGUCAGCUCGUGUCGUGAGAUGUUGGGUUAAGUCCCGCAACGAGCGCAACCCACGUCUUUAGUUGCCAGCAUUUAGUUGGGCACUCUAGAGAGACCGCCGGUGAUAAACCGGAGAAGGUGUGGAUGACGUCAAGUCAUCAUGCCCCUUACAUCUGGGCUACACACGUACUACAAUGCUACGGACAAAGGGCAGCAAACUCGCGAGAGCUAGCAAAUCCCAUAAACGUGGCUCAG